rnacentral:rRNA from 1 species
AUUGAACGCUGGCGGCAGGCCUAACACAUGCAAGUCGAGCGAGCGGCGGACGGGUGAGUAAUGUCUGGGAAACUGCCUGAUGGAGGGGGAUAACUACUGGAAACGGUAGCCAAUACCGCAUACCAUCAGAUGUGCCCAGAUGUGAUUAGCUAGUAGGUGGGGUAAUGGCGAACCUAGGCGACGACCCCUAGCUGGUCUGAGAGGAUGACCAGACAAAAUGGAACUGAGAAACGGUCCGGACACCUACGGGAGGCAGCAGUGGGGAAUAUUGCACAAUUGGGGCAAGCCUGAUGAAGCCAUGCCGCGUGUGUGAAGAAGGCCUUCGGGUUGUAAAGCACUUUCAGCGGGGAGGCGUUACCCGCAGAAGAAGAACCGGCUAACACCGUGCCAGCCGCCGCGGUAAUUC